rnacentral:rRNA from 1 species
AGAGUUUGAUCCUGGCUCAGGAUAACGCUAGCGAUAGGCUUAACACAUGCAAGUCGAGGGGCAGCAUAAAGGCAGCAAUGUCUUAGAUGGCGACCGGCGCACGGGUGAGUAACACGUAUGCAACCUGCCCACAACUGCGGGAUAACCCGUCGAAAGACGGACUAAUACCGCAUGGUAUGGAUUGAUCGCCUGAUUGAUUCAUCAAAGAAUUUCGGUUGUGGAUGGGCAUGCGUUCCAUUAGGCAGUUGGUGAGGUAACGGCUCACCAAACCUACGAUGGAUAGGGGUUCUGAGAGGAAGGUCCCCCACACUGGUACUGAGACACGGACCAGACUCCUACGGGAGGCAGCAGUGAGGAAUAUUGGUCAAUGGGCGAGAGCCUGAACCAGCCAAAUCGCGUGAAGGAUGAAGGUAUUAUGUAUUGUAAACUUCUUUUAUAGGGGAAUAAAGUGCACCACGUGUGGUGUUUUGUAUGUACCCUAGGAAUAAGGAUCGGCUAACUCCGUGCCAGCAGCCGCGGUAAUACGGAGGAUCAGCGUAUCGGGAUUAUGGUUAAGGGUGCGUAGGCGGGGGAUACAAGUCAGCGGUGAAAGUUGCGGCUCCAACCGUUAAAAUUGCCCGUUGAACUGUAUCCCUUGAGUGUAGACGAGUGCGUGGAAUUCGUAGUGUAGCGGUGAAAUGCUUAGAUAUUACGAAGAACUCCAAUUGCGUAGGCAGCGCACCAGGCUACAACUGACGCUGAGGCACGAAGGUGCGGGUAUCAAACAGGAUUAGAUACCCCUGGUAGUCCGCACAGUAAACGAUGAAUACUAGCUGUUUGCGAUAUACAGUAAGUGGCACAGCGAAAGCGUUAAGUAUUCCACCUGGGGAGUACGCCGGCAACGGUGAAACUCAAAGGAAUUGACGGGGGCCCGCACAAGCGGAGGAACAUGUGGUUUAAUUCGAUGAUACGCGAGGAACCUUACCCGGGCUUGAAUUGCAUUUGAAUAUGUUGGAAACAGCAUAGCCAGCAAUGGCAAAUGUGAAGGUGCUGCAUGGUUGUCGUCAGCUCGUGCCGUGAGGUGUCGGCUUAAGUGCCAUAACGAGCGCAACCCUCAUCAUUAGUUACUAACAGGUCAUGCUGAGGACUCUAAUGAGACUGCCAGCGUAAGCUGUGAGGAAGGUGGGGAUGACGUCAAAUCAGCACGGCCCUUACGUCCGGGGCGACACACGUGUUACAAUGGAGGGGACAGCAGGCUGCAAGGCGGUGACGCCAAGCGAAUCCUUUAAACCCCUUCUCAGUUCGGAUCGAAGUCUGCAACCCGACUUCGUGAAGCUGGAUUCGCUAGUAAUCGCGCAUCAGCCAUGGCGCGGUGAAUACGUUCCCGGGCCUUGUACACACCGCCCGUCAAGCCAUGGGAGCUGGGGGUGCCUAAAGUACGUGACCGCAAGGAGCGUCCUAGGGCAAAACCGGUGACUGGGGCUAAGUCGUAACAAGGUAACC